GAUGAACGCUGGCGGCGUGCCUAAUACAUGCAAGUCGAGCGAACAGACGAGGAGCUUGCUCCUCUGACGUUAGCGGCGGACGGGUGAGUAACACGUGGAUAACCUCCCUAUCAGACUGGGAUAACUUCGGGACACCGGAGCUAAUACCGGAUAAUAUCUUGAACCGCAUGGUUCAAUAGUGAAUGACGGUUUUGCUGUCACUUCUAGAUGGAUCCGCGCCGCAUUAGCUAGUUGGUAAGGUAACGGCUUACCAAGGCAACGAUGCGUGGCCGACCUGAGAGAGUGAUCGGCCACACUGGAACUGAGACACGGUCCAGAGGCCUACGGGAGGCAGCAGUAGGGAAUCGGACGCAAUGGGCGAAAGCCUGACGGAGCAACGCCGCGUGAGUGAUGAAGGUCUUCGGAUCGUAAAACUCUGUUAUUAGGGAAGAACAAAUGUGUAAGGAACUAUGCACGGCUUGACGGUACCUAAUCAGAAAGCCACGGCUAACUACGUG
rnacentral:rRNA from 1 species